AUGAUCGGUGCUUGCACUGAGAUUCAACAUUAAAACGAGUGGCGGACGGGUGAGUAACACGUGGGUAACCUGCCCUUAAGUGGGGGAUAACAUUUGGAAACAGAUGCUAAUACCGCAUAAAUCCAAGAACCGCAUGGUUCUUGGCUGAAAGAUGGCGUAAGCUAUCGCUUUUGGAUGGACCCGCGGCGUAUUAGCUAGUUGGUGAGGUAACGGCUCACCAAGGCGAUGAUACGUAGCCGAACUGAGAGGUUGAUCGGCCACAUUGGGACUGAGACACGGCCCAAACUCCUACGGGAGGCAGCAGUAGGGAAUCUUCCACAAUGGACGCAAGUCUGAUGGAGCAACGCCGCGUGAGUGAAGAAGGCUUUCGGGUCGUAAAACUCUGUUGUUGGAGAAGAAUGGUCGGCAGAGUAACUGUUGUCGGCGUGACGGUAUCCAACCAGAAAGCCACGGCUAACUACGUGCCAGCAGCCGCGGUAAUACGUAGGUGGCAAGCGUUAUCCGGAUUUAUUGGGCGUAAAGCGAGCGCAGGCGGUUUUUUAAGUCUGAUGUGAAAGCCCUCGGCUUAACCGAGGAAGCGCAUCGGAAACUGGGAAACUUGAGUGCAGAAGAGGACAGUGGAACUCCAUGUGUAGCGGUGAAAUGCGUAGAUAUAUGGAAGAACACCAGUGGCGAAGGCGGCUGUCUGGUCUGUAACUGACGCUGAGGCUCGAAAGCAUGGGUAGCGAACAGGAUUAGAUACCCUGGUAGUCCAUGCCGUAAACGAUGAAUGCUAGGUGUUGGAGGGUUUCCGCCCUUCAGUGCCGCAGCUAACGCAUUAAGCAUUCCGCCUGGGGAGUACGACCGCAAGGUUGAAACUCAAAGGAAUUGACGGGGGCCCGCACAAGCGGUGGAGCAUGUGGUUUAAUUCGAAGCAACGCGAAGAACCUUACCAGGUCUUGACAUCUUUUGAUCACCUGAGAGAUCAGGUUUCCCCUUCGGGGGCAAAAUGACAGGUGGUGCAUGGUUGUCGUCAGCUCGUGUCGUGAGAU
rnacentral:rRNA from 1 species